UAGGGAUUUUUAUCUUAUUAGAGGAAUUUGUCCUUUAAUCGAUAAUCCACGUUAAAUUUAACUUAAAUUAUUAACUAUAUAUACCGCCAUCUAAAGAAUUGAAUUAAUUUUAAUAUUACAUUCCUAAUAUAACAAGUUAGGUCAAAUCAGGUCAAGGUGUUAAGUAUGAGAUGAAUUACAUUAGUUACUUUAAAUGGAUUUAAAAUUAAAAUUUAACAUGAAUAGUGAUUUUAAUUUGGUUUAGUACCUUAUACAUCUCUACUUAAAUCUACGAAUUCUUAUAAAAACCUCACCUUCCGUGCACACAU
rnacentral:rRNA from 1 species